rnacentral:rRNA from 1 species
GCCAGACUCCUACGGGAGGCAGCAGUGGGGGAUAUUGCACAAUGGGGGAAACCCUGAUGCAGCGACGCCGCGUGAGUGAAGAAGUAUUUCGGUAUGUAAAGCUCUAUCAGCAGGGAAGAAAAAAGACGGUACCUGACUAAGAAGCCCCGGCUAACUACGUGCCAGCAGCCGCGGUAAUACGUAGGGGGCAAGCGUUAUCCGGAUUUACUGGGUGUAAAGGGAGCGUAGACGGCAAUACAAGUCGGAAGUGAAAUACCCGGGCUUAACCUGGGAACUGCUUUGGAAACUGUAUGGCUGGAGUGCUGGGGAGGUAAGCGGAAUUCCUAGUGUAGCGGUGAAAUGCGUAGAUAUUAGGAGGAACACCAGUGGCGAAGGCGGCUUACUGGACAGUAACUGACGUUGAGGCUCGAAAGCGUGGGGAGCAAACAGGAUUAGAUACCCUAGUACUC